rnacentral:tRNA from 1 species
UCCGCCAUAGCUCAGUUGGUAGUAGCGCAUGACUGUUAAUCAUNNCUGUUAAUCAUGAUGUCGUAGGUUCGAGUCCUACUGGCGGAG